AUGGCUGUCUUUUUAAACUUGAUUUUUGCUUCACUUCUGCCAUGACAAAGAUCUGUAAAUGCGUGUGGAUAUUUGUCUGUAACUCGAGGUUUUCUUCACCCUCAGCUCAGGCUCUCAGUCUCAUGCUGCCAGUCUAACGCUCCUCAAUAAGAACUUCAGCUGCCAACAUGAACAUCUGAAGGAGGCUCCCACAGCUGAGCGACCCAAACAACAUGGCGGGAUGCCACGCAGCUGCAAAAGUCGCUGUACUGCUCCCCACUGCUUUAACAAGCAAAAAACAGAGUGAACACAUCUGAUCAUCUGUGCUGAACAGAUCCCUUCAUCUGCUAUAGUGAGAGACACCAGUAUCUAACCAGUAUCAGCAGGGCUGUGGCCGACAGCUCAUUGCUGAGUGUCCAGAGAAAUGUCAGAAUGCCGACAGGUUGUUAUCAUCAGUGCCCUUAUCUUCCCCUUGCAGGUGCACCAGCACAACGAAAACAGCCUGCACAUCCCGCCAGCCAAGGUUUUAUGGCUUGCUGCAGCAGCCAUGUAACUCUAUCAGGUGAUCAACUUAAGACACAUAAAAGAGCAACGUUUAGCAUAUUCCAAGGUACAUUUAAAAUAAUAAAAACAUUGUUUUAUUAAAAAAAGAGGGACUAAUAGGUGGAAUUGAAUUGGUCAGGAUGGUAUGGCAUGGUGCACUGAGAACAUUUUGAACAGUGGUGUAAGUAACUAUUAUUUUGUUUUGCCACAUGAUCAUCUCACAGUAGGCAGUGAAAUGUUUUUCAUUAUUUUGACUCUACUUCAGAACAUUGGAUUUUAAAAGAAACAAUCACUAUUAAACUAUCUGCCCAGGUUUUGGGACAUUUAACUUUGAGUCUCUGCCUCCACCCUAGUCCAAUGGAGGUGAAUUGAAAUUUGAUUGUGAUGCUGACACUAGUGAAAAAUUAGUUUUCAGAGUCAACAGCAACAUCACCUUUCACAAUCAGAGGUCUGUCAGUUUUCACAUGGUCAAACAUAGUCACUAUAAAAACUGAUAACAGCAUGUUCUAUAGAAUAUAGAACGACCUUUUUAAAUGUAAUUUUCUAAUGCUGUGAGAAUAUCUCAAAAUGGGAAAAUGAAACUAAAACUACUGCAUAGGCUACCAUUACAGAUAAGAUAAAGGGGAGGAAUGGUAAAAAAAACCCAAAAAACUUUUCACUUUUAUUAUCUGUAAUGUUUCAAAAUAUCAGUCUAAUUUUAAAAAAGCAGAAAUGACAGGCAAGUUUUGAGAGGAGAGAAGAAAAGAAAUGUAAAGAACUUCUAGUGAGCCUGCACUGGGCUAAGGGACUCCACUUACAUUUUAAGCAUCCAAAUCAAAGCAUCAUCAUUUGUAAAAGAGAUCAAGCAAUGUUUCUGCAUUAAAAUUUUAUUCAAACUUAAUACAGGAAAUGAUGGGACCCUUUUUUCUUCUAAAGGUUUGUUUAAUCUUCACACACAUGCCAAAUAAAAUCUCUUUGAUCCUCUUCUCCCCUUUAAUCAGGGUACAUGCUCUCAUGCCCCCUUCCCUUUUCAGUCUCUCAUUCAAACUUGUUCCUCCUCAACCCGUAUGUCUCCUUGUACUGGUUUCAUUUCUGUUGACAAAGCAUUACAGAGCCCCCAUGUCUUGUCUUGCCUAAUUGGUCCACGUGGAUUAAUUUAGCAUCUAAUUACCAAGCUAGUUUUCAUGCUUCUGAAUUUUCAGGGUCGUGUUUUGCCUUUAGAUAACUUUCCUCACUCUCAAGGCUAUGUAGUUACUCACAUUUCACUGAACCAUAUGAAUAAAUGUGCAUUGUAAUAGAUGUAAA